AGUGAACGCUGGCGGUAGGCCUAACACAUGCAAGUCGAACGGCAGCACAGUAAGAGCUUGCUCUUACGGGUGGCGAGUGGCGGACGGGUGAGGAAUACAUCGGAAUCUACUUUUUCGUGGGGGAUAACGUAGGGAAACUUACGCUAAUACCGCAUACGACCUACGGGUGAAAGCAGGGGAUCUUCGGACCUUGCGCGAUUGAAUGAGCCGAUGUCGGAUUAGCUAGUUGGCGGGGUAAUGGCCCACCAAGGCGACGAUCCGUAGCUGGUCUGAGAGGAUGAUCAGCCACACUGGAACUGAGACACGGUCCAGACUCCUACGGGAGGCAGCAGUGGGGAAUAUUGGACAAUGGGCGCAAGCCUGAUCCAGCCAUACCGCGUGGGUGAAGGAGGCCUUCGGGUUGUAAAGCCCUUUUGUUGGGAAAGAAAAGCAGCAGGUUAAUACCCCGCUGUUCUGACGGUACCCAAAGAAUAAGCACCGGCUAACUUCGUG
rnacentral:rRNA from 1 species